rnacentral:rRNA from 1 species
AUUGAACGCUGGCGGCAUGCCUUACACAUGCAAGUCGAACGGCAGCACGGGAGCAAUCCUGGUGGCGAGUGGCGAACGGGUGAGUAAUAUAUCGGAACGUGCCCAGUCGUGGGGGAUAACGCAGCGAAAGCUGUGCUAAUACCGCAUACGAUCUCUGGAUGAAAGCGGGGGACUCGCAAGAGCCUCGCGCGAUUGGAGCGGCCGAUAUCAGAUUAGCUAGUUGGUGGGGUAAAGGCCCACCAAGGCGACGAUCUGUAGCUGGUCUGAGAGGAUGAUCAGUCACACUGGAACUGAGACACGGUCCAG